AGGGAUAUAGUUUAAUGGUUAAAACGAUUGACUUUGAAUCAAUAGAUUUCAGUUCGAUUCUGAAUAUCUCCGCCA
rnacentral:tRNA from 1 species